ACCAGACUCCUACGGGAGGCAGCAGUGGGGAAUAUUGGACAAUGGGGGGAACCCUGAUCCAGCGACGCCGCGUGAGUGAAGAAGUAUUUCGGUAUGUAAAGCUCUCUCAGCAGGGAAGAAAGAAAUGACGGUACCUGACUAAGAAGCCCCGGCUAACUACGUGCCAGCAGCCGCGGUAAUACGUAGGGGGCAAGCGUUAUCCGGAUUUACUGGGUGUAAAGGGGGCGCAGACGGCAGCGCAAGCCAGGAGUGAAAGCCCGGGGCCCAACCCCGGGACUGCUCUUGGAACUGCGCGGCUGGAGUGCAGGAGGGGCAGGCGGAAUUCCUGGUGUAGCGGUGAAAUGCGUAGAUAUCAGGAGGAACACCGGUGGCGAAGGCGGCCUGCUGGACUGCGACUGACGUUGAGGCCCGAAAGCGUGGGGAGCAAACAGGAUUAGAUACCCUCGUAGCG
rnacentral:rRNA from 1 species